GAGACGUUCAGGCGUAGUGACAGCUUCUGGCUUAUGGAUCUCAGCAGUAACUCCUUUCGUUCCCAUCUCCCUGGCCUUGCCAGCAGGUCUGCAUGGACUGCACCAGUUGCUUGAGAUCUUCCCCUACAGAAGCUCAGAAGUGACAACAUUCCUGACCCAAACAGUCUGAAGCAGUGAUGGAGCACCUGGUGAGGGGUGUGGCCAGCCCUGCCAGCACAGGUGGAAGCAAUUUACCUGUGGGACCGGAUAGGGCUGAGCUUGGCUCCACCCCUCCCUGACCAUAUUUAAGGGCUGGGAACAGCCAGGGCAGCAUUCUUCUUGUGGACUGCCUCCUUGAGAGCAUUGGGAGUGAGUUCUGCCCUUUAGAAUGGGGUGAGUGGUUGAUGCUUUAUUGUGGGGCUUUUUUUUUUUUUUUUUUUUUUUUUUCUCUCUGUUUUUGGGGUUCCUGACUGCUUGUAAGGGCUGAAAGCUGUAAGGGCAGCAUCUCUGCGUGGGGACUGCUUCCUUUGGGGUGUGGGCUGAGUGUUUGUUUUUGGAAUGGGAUCAUUGUUUUCAUCUUUAUUGCUGGAUUGUAAUUUCACUUUCUGGGGGGCUCCUGACCACAUUUAAGGUCUGUCAGCAGAAAGAGCAGCAACUGCACCUGGAGACUGCUUCCUUUAGAGUGUGGGGUGAACCCUUGAAACAGGGUGACUGAUUCUUUAUUCCAGGGUUGCAAUAUCUUGUUUCUGGGAGGAUCCUGACCCCACUUAAGGGCUGGUAGCCUUUAAGGUGGUACCUGUCUUUAGAGACUGUCUCCUUGGGAGUGUGGGGUGAGGUCUGGUCCUUGAGAUGGGAUGAGUGAUUCCUUCUUAUUUUAGGGCUGUGACCUUUCCCUUUUGUUUUUUGGGGCAUCCUGACCACAUUUAAGUGCUGACUGAUGUAAGGGCAAUGUUAAUCUCUGGAGACUGUCUCCUGUAGAGCAUGGGAUACUGGGAUUGGCCCAGAGAGGCUCUGUGACGGAUGUGGAUUAUCCCAGCUGGAGUACCUGGUACCAUUGAUGGUGAUCUAGUCCAACUGCCACAGAACGAGCAGGAACAUCCACAGCCAGAUCAGGUUGCCCAGAGACUGACCCAGCCUCACCUUGGAAGGGACAGGGCAUCCAUCACGUGUCUGGGGACUUCACCUGACUGCCUCAACUUCUCAAAUACCACUGUCGGUGGCUCAGUGACUGCAGCACUGAAUUCCCUCAGAACUCUGGGACUUGUCUCAUCAGGACCCAAAGGCUCCUGGAUG